GCCGAAGUGGCGGAACUGGCAGACGCGCCAGAUUCAGGUUCUGGUGGGGGCAACCCUGUAGGAGUUCGAAUCUCCUCUUCGGCACCA
rnacentral:tRNA from 1 species